rnacentral:rRNA from 1 species
UUUAUUGGAGAGUUUGAUCCUGGCUCAGGAUGAACGCUGGCGGCGUGCCUAAUACAUGCAAGUCGAGCGAAUGGAUUAAGAGCUUGCUCUUAUGAAGUUAGCGGCGGACGGGUGAGUAACACGUGGGUAACCUGCCCAUAAGACUGGGAUAACUCCGGGAAACCGGGGCUAAUACCGGAUAACAUUUUGAACCGCAUG